rnacentral:misc_RNA from 1 species
UUUCCGUAGGUGAACCUGCGGAAGGAUCAUUGUCGUGACCCUGACCAAAACAGACCGCGCAUGCGUUAUCCAAUCCGUCGGCGACGGCACCGUCCAUCGCUCGGCCAAUGCCUCGACCACCUCCCCUCCUCGGAGUGGGUGGGGGCUUGGGGUAAAAGAACCCACGGCAUCGAAGGCGUCCAGGAACACUGUGCCUAACCCGGGGGCAUGGAGCUAUUUAAUGCACACGACUCUCGGCAACGGAUAUCUCGGCUCUC